rnacentral:lncRNA from 1 species
CUGUGUAUAGCUAUUAUGAAUGCCACUGAUUUAAAGUUUGACACUGCAUUUAUUGAAUCGUGCAUGGAACAAUGAAAAUAGGAAAUUCCAGUAAAAAAAAAUAAUUGUUUGUUUUGUCUAUACAUGAUAUGUAUUCUUUUGGUUACAUUUGAAGAUGUUUAUAUUUUAUUUAAUGUUGAAAUAAUAUGCUGAUCUUGAUAUUGUGUGUUUAAUAAAACAUUAUGUUUCGAUUAUUCAGACAAGUCAAUUGUUACUUUUGUCUGUGGUCAUGUCGAGCCGUUUUUAAUUGAAUUAUUAUCAUUUACUGAAACUUACGAUUUAUACGAAAAUCUGCAAUGAUGCCGUUUAAAUACUUUACAUGUUGUAACGCGAUAAACGUGAUUGAAAAACAUUGAUAUCUUUAUUUCUAAAAAGUCGUAACUCAAGAUAAAUCAUGCAAAAUCCUAAAUGCUUGUAGGAAAUAUGAUCUUUUAGAAACAGUAUUUUCACAUAUACCGAGUGCAGAUUGAAUCAUUAUGGCAG